AAAAUAUUUAAUAUAUAGGCUAUUAAUCUACAGUAAUGUGUUUUAAUAGGUAUACCAUCAGGCAGAGACGACUCGAACCCUAAAGGUGGCAGUGAAGGUAAAAUACUAUUCCAUAGGAAAUUUGGAAACAGAAACAUCGGUAUUGUAAUGUUGUCAAUCAUGUCAAUGCUAAUAAUUACAGUUCCAUAAUGUGUAUGAUACAUCAGCUUUACUGCAGCAACAAGAAUGGCAAAGAAAUGCAAUCUUUAUGCUAUGCACUCGCAACUUAGUACAAGCAUGUUGCCAUCCUCAUUUAACUCGCUUCAUAGACAAUGCAGUAACUUCCAAUGUUCAGCAAACACGUCUAUGCAAAUUAGAUUGCAAUGGAUCACACCCAACCAUAGUAUUGGAAUCUCAGGAUGUUUACGUUUGAUUCAGACUCAGAUUAGUAUUGUCAUAACAAAAAAAAGUAGUAUGAACUUCCUUUCCCAAAUUGCAAAGUAAACACACAUAUUGAAAGACAAAUUGCACGAAAACAAUUAUAUAUAAAACUAGAAAUAAUUAUAAAAUAGACAUAGAUAAUCAAAGCCGGGCACUCAUUGUGUACGACCGUGUUGUCGGCCGAUGCGAUUCCAUAAAGAGCGCAACGCAACGACGCACGCAACGGAUCGUUUUUAAUGACCGAGAGUUAGCAAACGGCGUCGCGUCGUCUAUCGCUCACAGACAGCGGAGUUGGAUUCGUCGUGUGACGGUCGUACAACGCAGUGUAUGCCUGGCUUAACAGUGAAAGAAGAGUUAAAUUAGAGAAGUAUGAACAUUUAGGACUAAGGUUUUAUGUUUAUCUUUUAACUAUUGAAGAGGCGGAUGGCUGUCGGCAUAAAUUAAUUUCUGAAACUGUUUGUCCUGACUGGAGUGUGACGGAUUCUACCUGAACUGCUUGUGAUAAUAGUAUUAUGAAGGGGAUGAGUAUUUGUCAUGUAUAAUGUCCUUAAGUGUUCUAGUGAUAAAUUUAUCACAAAAUAAUCAAAUUGCUCGGCAUCCAUACCAAAAAUCUUACAAGCUAACAUAAUAAUCCCAGUGAGUUUUUCUAGACUUUCUUUGGAUAAUUCAAUAUACCAGACAUUACAGCAGAAUGAUGUGGCAGACUAGAUGACAGAAACAUAGGACAUAUUAAUAUUAGGUUUUUUGUUUCAAUGUGUACAUUACCAUGACGUUUUCCUCACUAAUAAUAUUACUACCCGGGAUCGGAAUUUAUUGUGACAUCACUUGCAUUAUUGUAACAAUUCAACUUUAAUAUAAAUUCAUAAAAAUGCAUUCCUUUACUGAUCUAAUACAAGAUCAGGCUCUGCUGAUUGGUAGUGGCUUAGGCUUAUUAAACGUUGCCAAACAUAA